GGGCCCUUAGCUCACCUGGUAGAGCGCCGCGUUUGCAACGCGGAGGCAGCCGGUUCGAUCCCGGCAGGGUCCA
rnacentral:tRNA from 1 species